AUCCGUCUGUGAUGAGGCCACGGAUCAAGCGUCAGGCAUGGCGCCCGACAACCAUGAGGAGACCUUCCAUGCUGCCUUCCUUCUGAGACCGUC
ensembl:snoRNA